CGCUUCGCCAGGCCCUAUCAUGCAGUCGAACGGUGUCUUCGGACAUAGUGGCGCACGGGUGCGUAACACGUAUGCAACCUACCUUACAUUGGGGGAUAGCCUUUCGAAAGGGAGAUUAAUACCGCAUAAGACAGUAGCUGGGCAUCCAGCAGCUGUUAAAGAUUUAUCGAUGUAAGCUGGGCAUGCGUCCAAUUAGCUAGUUGGUGAGGUAACGGCUCACCAAGGCUAUGAUUGGUAGGGGAACUGAGAGGUCAAUCCCCCACACUGGCACUGAGAUACGGGCCAGACUCCUACGGGAGGCAGCAGUAGGGAAUAUUGGGCAAUGGACGCAAGUCUGACCCAGCCAUGCCGCGUGCAGGAUGAAGGCGUUAUGCGUUGUAAACUGCUUUUAUACAGGAAGAAACGACUCUUGCGAGAGGCAUUGACGGUACUGUAUGAAUAAGCACCGGCUAACUCCGUGCCAGCAGCCGCGGUAAUACGGAGGGUGCAAGCGUUGUCCGGAUUUAUUGGGUUUAAAGGGUGCGCAGGUGGUUUAUUAAGUCAGUGGUGAAAGACGGUCGCUCAACGAUUGCAGUGCCAUUGAAACUGGUAGACUUGAGUAAAGUAGAGGUGGGCGGAAUUGAUAGUGUAGCGGUGAAAUGCAUAGAUAUUAUCAAGAACUCCAAUUGCGUAGGCAGCUCACUUGGCUUUUACUGACACUCAUGCACGAAAGUGUGGGUAUCAAACAGGAUUAGAUACCCUGGUAGUCCACACUGUAAACGAUGAUAACUAGGUGUCGGCCGAAUCUGGUCGGUGCCACAGCGAAAGCGUUAAGUUAUCCACCUGGGGAGUACGCCGGCAACGGUGAAACUCAAAGGAAUUGACGG
rnacentral:rRNA from 1 species